GGUUGAAUUGACAUGUUUGUUCCCAUUAGCAAAGAGGACAUGGUUGUGAUUGUUUUGCUCUCACAAAUGGGUAACAGUCAUAAGACCAGACUUCUGUAGAGAGAAAACACACACACACACACACACACACACACACACACACACACACACACACACACACACACACACUUAUCCUAGUCAUAUGAGAAAGGCUAGCCGAAGGAUAGCUGAAGUUGAGGUAAUGGAGAAUUUGCGAUGGAGGCUCCGGCACUGGGCUUCUGUGUGUGUGAGAAACUUCUGCUGGUGUUGUGGAACGAAGAAAGAGGUAGAAGAUACACAGGAACCUGUUUACGGGAGAAAAGAAGAUUUGGGAGAACAAGAGACGCCCUCAAGGAGCCAGAGCUUUUCGUCUCUGCCGGCCCUCGAGCUGGGAGAGCUGGAUAGUGUGGAAACUCCUCAACCCCAGUGGUUUCACACACUACAAGUGCGCAGGCUCCGAGCGCAGAGAGGACGCAGCAACAGUGACCCACUGGGGGGCAAGAACUUUCAGUCAGAGUUUCAAUGGAACACGGGUCUGCAGUUUGGAACGGCGAACUCCUACCUGAACCUGGAGAAACUAGGAGAGGGAACAUACGCCACCAUAUAUAAAGGAAUAAGCAGGAUAAACGGACACUUGGUGGCGCUGAAGGUGAUCCGAAUGAAAACGGAGGAAGGCGUUCCGUUCACAGCGAUCAGGGAGGCAUCUCUGUUAAAAGGCCUCAAACACGCCAACAUCGUCCUGCUCCAUGACAUCGUCCACACGCGGGAGUCCCUCACCUUCGUCUUCGAAUACGUGCAAACAGAUUUGGCUCAGUAUAUGAUCCAGCAUCCAGGAGGACUUCAUCCCUGGAAUGUGCGAAUCUUCAUGUUCCAACUGUUGCGAGGUUUAUCGUAUAUCCACAGCAGGAGGAUCCUGCAUCGAGAUCUUAAACCCCAGAACCUGCUCAUCAGCUACCUGGGCGAGCUCAAACUGGCCGACUUCGGUCUAGCCAGGUCCAAGUCGAUCCCAUGCCAGACGUACUCUGCAGAAGUCGUCACCCUGUGGUACAGACCACCUGAUGUUCUCCUGGGGUCCACAGAUUAUUCUACAGCACUGGAUAUCUGGGGUGCAGGCUGCAUUUUUAUCGAGAUGCUGCAGGGAGCGCCAGCGUUCCCCGGUGUGGCUGAUGUGUUUGAACAGUUGGUGAAAAUCUGGAGAGUUCUCGGUGUACCCACGGAGGAGAGCUGGCCGGGAGUGAGCGAGCUGCCAAACUAUAAAACGGAAUGGUUCCUGCCCUGUAAACCCCAGCAAUUCAGAGAUGUCUGGAAAAGAUUUGCACAGUUACCCUAUAAGACAGAGGACCUGGCCCAGCAGUUGUUGACGAUGAUUCCCAAAGAAAGGAUUUUAGCCCAGGAUGCUUUACUCCAUCCCUAUUUCAACCCGCUGCCACCGCCUGUGAUGCAGCUGCGAGACACCGUAUCCAUCUUCAAGGUGCCUGGGGUGAGGCUGGAGACGGAAGUGAGUGAUAUCUUUAGCCCCAACAGAUGGAUGAAGUCUAACCUAGUGCCACAUGGGAAAUGCUGGUGAUAGGUUCCUUCUGGCCACGUCGAACACACAGAAAAUAUUAGAAGAAAGAGGAAGGAGGAAAAAAAACAAACUCUUUGUAAUUGAGGAUCAUCAUGGAUUCCUUGUUGACAAGAAUAACAGAACAAUCCUGAGUGUUGCUUUUAAGGGCUGCAUCCAUUUGCAGUGACCAUGAAGUGGUCUGGACUUGGGAUGGAUGGAUGGAUGGAUGGAUGCAUGGAUGGAUGGAUGGAUGGAUGGAUGGAUGGAUGGAUGGAUGGAUGGAUGGAUGGAGACACUCUGGAGUAAGGAUGUUCUUGAAGCUGUGGUACUGAAAGAGUCAAUGACAUAAAUAGCACUUUUCAUGCAGCAUACAGAAAAACCAACAUCUACAGUUACACCAAAGACAAUGAGAACAAAUUUAAAAUGAAUCCAAUAAAAAAGCGAAUUCUCUGAAGGGGAAAUGAUGUGAGAGACACAUCUGAUUCCUGUAGCAGCUACUUUCAUUUUGCUCAGUGAACUCUGACAAGCAUGAGGCAGGCAAAAGAAAAGGACGAGGCGGGGCUAUGGUGUCUUUGUUUGGUAAAAGAAUCGAGGAACUGCCUCUUAUUAACUAUCAGUGAACACCAGAUAUUUUCCUUGCAGUUUUCUUGCAGCUGGAAAAAAAAACAAUCAAAUCUUUUCCAGAGAAAAUGUAAGAAAUAAGAUCAAAUCUUCAAUCGUGAAUCCACUGAUAAAGUCUUGUCGGAGCAACGGUGGCAUCUCUGUAGCAUAUAAUUUAUGUAGCUUUAUGUAAAUAUUUUUCCGAAAGGCCUUUUAAUGUGGAAAGAUGUGAGCCAGAGAGGGAGGGAGAGAGGGAGGGAGGGAGAGGUAAAAAUCUUUCACAUAUGCACACUGACCCAUGAGCGUUAAGGCAAAUUGCAAAUUGAAAGGUCAUGGCCAUAUAGGAAAAAGAGCUGGAGCUGAUCCCAGAUCCUCCCAUAGAGAGAGAGAGAGAGAGAGAGAGAGAGAGAGAGAGAGAGAGAGAGAGAGAGAGAGAGAGAGAGAGAU